GCGGGGCGGGUCGGUCUCCGGCCUGGGCAGCGCCCCAGAAGCCUCAUAGAUUGUUUCUCCCCCAGACGUUUAUCUUCACCGACGGGGACGACCCUGAGCUCGAGCUCCAGGGCGGCGGCCGUGUCAUCAACACCAACUGCUCCGCGGUGCGCACCCGUCAGGCCCUCUGCUGCAAGAUGUCCGUGGAGUAUGACAAGUUCAUUGAGUCUGGGCGCAAGUACGCGGCGCUGACCCGACCCGCAGAGAGCCCAGAGCCAAGCUGGGUGGGGGCCUCCUGUCCAGCCAUGCCAGGCCCUCGUGCCCAGGACUCCCCUCGCCCACAGGUGGUUUUGCCACGUGGAUGAUGACAAUUAUGUGAACGCCAGGAGCCUCCUGCACCUGCUCUCCAGCUUCUCACCCAGCCAGGACGUCUACCUGGGGCGGC
rnacentral:sRNA from 1 species